GUAGUUGCAGGGACACUUGAGUUAAUAAUUCUAUAAAAUUUUUACUAUUGGGUCCACUCAAGGAUGUUUUCCCGUUAAAGAUUGAUUGUUGUCUUUUGAUAUUGCCAUUGAGAUUUUAAGUGUUGAGAGCCUCCUAAAAGAAACAGUGCUUUGAUUUCCAUACGAGCUAUAGAUGCAGAAUUACUAUUGUUUUUCAGAAAUUCAUCCCAUUUAUAUAGUUCAUUAGAGCUUGUUUAUUUGCUUACAUCGAUUUCAUUCAUUCAUCUGUUGUGUCAAGAAAAUGAUCGGAUAGAAUUAUAUUUUUGUUACAUAUUUUGAUUUUUGUUAUUUACUAGAAAAUGUAAGAGUUCUUAUGAUAGUUAGCUAGAGUUCUCCGUAAAUAUCCCUCUUAAAAUGAGCAUUUCAAGGAUGCUUAUUGAACCUUCUUUACUUGCACAACUUGUGCAGCAUUUUCUUUAUUUGCUUUUGUAUUUGGCUAUAAUUCGAAGUUGGAUAAGUUUCUUUUGUCAGUACAUCAACCUGCGCCAACUGCUGAUUAGAUUUUCCUCUUGCUAUACCGUCAUCUUUAGUAUGAAAGUUGUUGCUCCUUAUUGUCAUAUUUGAUAAUUACGCCGUAUAUGGUUAGGCCUUCUUGAAUGACUUUGCAAUGUACUUAUGUUACAUAAUUCUUUCAUCAAUGACUUUGCAAUGUACUUAUGUUACAUAAUUCUUUCAUCAAUGACUUUGCUUAAUUUGCUCAAAUUUGCAGAACUACUCUUCAAUCAUUACUG
rnacentral:misc_RNA from 1 species